GUGAUCUUCCCACUUCAGCCUCCUGAGUAGCUGGGACCACAGCUACCCUUAGCCUUCCACCAUGAGUGGAAGCAGCCUGAUGCACUCAGCAGCAGGACCAGAUGCUGGUGCCGUACUUCUUAUACAGCUUGCAGAACUGUGACCCAAAUAAACUUCUUUUCCUUAUAAAUUACUCAGGCUCCGAUAUUUCUUUAUAGCAGCAUAAAUGGACUAAGACAGUAAGGGUGCAAUUUUCAGUGUUAUACUGGAGUUUCUAGUCAAACAAUACAAAAAAACAAGUUUUAAAUAUUUGAAAAAAGUAGCUAGAACAAUUAUUAUGUGAAGAUAUUCUCUCUCUACAAAAUCAACUGACAAACUACUAGUUAAGCAGUUUACAAAGUUGAUGUUUAAAAAUCUGUUUUUUCUAAAAUUAGCACUUUGCAGAUCUGGAAAUGUAAUAGGAAAAAUCCUAUUCAUAAAAGCAACAAAAUGUAAAAUACGUGGGAAUAGACCUUAUUUUUUAAAUGUAAGACAUUUAUGAAGAAAACAAUAAAAUGUCACAGAAGGAUUUAAAGGAAAAUCUGAAUAUGGAAAUAAGUUAUGUUCCUGUAUGAAUCUAGCUAAACUGGCUAAGAUCCCAGUGGGAUUUUUUCAUGAGAGUUAAUUAAACAAACUGAAAUUCACACAGAAUAAUAAAUGCCUAGGAAUAACCAAGAUAAUUUUGAAAAAGAGCAAAAAAAAAGAGCAAUCUGGUCUUUCAGAUACCAAAACAUAAUCUAAAAGUCUAUCAGUUAAUAGUAUGGUAUUGGUAGAAAGAAUAAAGAAAUAAGCCCAUGUAUAAAAAGGAAUUUAAUACACAAUGAAAAUAACAAUGCAAAUGGAUUAAACAACACAAAUGAAUUUAAAUAACAAAUCGUAAGAAAAUUCAGAUACGACCUUAAAGCAGGCCUUCUUAAACUUAGCCAAAAGAAGUGAAAGCCAUAAAUAAAAGAUUAAUUUGAGUUUACCAAAACAAAAACUUCUAGACAAAAUACCGUAAAGUUAAAACACAAGCUAUGUGCUAGAUAAAAAAUAUUUCAUAUAUGUGCAAAACAAACUAUAGGCAAAGGGUUAAUAUUUUCGUUAUAUUAAAAAGAAGAAAAAACUACAAAGCGGUAAGAAGAAAGACAAUCCAGAAGAAAAAUGGGCAAGAGAUAAGAAGUGUUAGUUGACAGAAGAAGAAAUAUAGAUAAUGGAUAAAUUUAUAAAAAUGGGACUACCUUACUAUUAAUUAGCAAAAUAUAAAGUGAAAUAAAAGAAUAACACUUUUGAGAGGGGCGGCAGAGCAAGAUGGUGAAAUAGAAGCCUCCACUUGUCGUCCUCCCCACAGGAACACCAAAUUGAACAAAUGUCCACACAAAAAAGAACCUUCAUAAGAACCAAAAAUCAGGUGAAUGAUCACAGUACCUAGAUUUAUCUUCAUAUCACUUAAAGAGACACUGAAGAGGAUAGAAACGACAGUCUUGAAUUACUGACAUCACCCCUUCCCCAUCUGCUGGCAGUGGUUGCGUGGAACGGAGAGAGAAUCUGUGUGCUUGUGGGAGGGAGAGCACAGUGAUUGUGUGACUUUGCAUUGGAACUCAGUGCUGCCCUGUCACAGUGGAAAGCAACACUGGGCAGGACUCAGUAAGUUUCCACAGAGGGAGGAUUUAGACCAGCCUUAGCCAGAGGUGAAUUACCCAUUCCAGUGUUCUGAAUUUGAGUUCUGGAAAGCCUUGCCACCCAAGCUAAAGGGUCCUGGGGUCCUAAAUAAACUUGAAAAGCAGACUAGGCCACAAGGACUGCAAUUCUUGGGCAAGUCCUGGUGCUGUGCUGGUGUUGGAGCCAGUGGACUUGAGCAGCACAUAACCUUGUGAGACACCAGGGGCAGCCAGGGGAGUGCUUACGCCACCUCUCCCCCAACCUCAGGUGGAGCAGCUUGCAGCUCUGGGAGAGACUCCUUCUUUCUGCUUGAAGAGAGGAGA
rnacentral:lncRNA from 1 species